rnacentral:lncRNA from 1 species
GGCCUUGAAGAUUGUUGUAAUAUGUUUCGAUAGAUCCCCCGCCUUGCUGGAGUCUCGUCACUUUCCUCUUGAGAUCAUAAACUUGUGAGGCGUCGGUACCAUCAAAAUAUGUUGUGGCGAUGGUAUCCCAUACCGCUUUUGCAUUUGGAAAUAUGAUGUAGUUGCUGAUCAGUUUUGGGUCCAUAGAAUUAAUCAACCAUCCCUUCACCACUGCAUUUUCAGUUCUCCAUCUUCUUAAAUUAGGAUUUGUCUCUCGGGGCCUUAGGAAAAUCACCAUUUAUAUACCCCAACUUAU